GAUGCAAACCCAGUGGCAUCAGUGGUAGUGGCUAGCUGCAGGUAUUGUCUGUAUUUAAGCCUUGGCUUUCAUUCAAGUCCUUAUUGUGCAUUCCUUAAAUUGCUUGAUGCAUCACCUGGAAAGAAGUAAUACAGUUGGGUGGUGGGGAAGGGGAAGGCAUAAAAAUAGGGGAAGAGUUUAAGGUCACAGAAUUAUGCAGUGCUUACCAAAAAAAUUCUAAUUAAAUUGAAGCACUUUUGAUGAUUUUUUUCUUUCCUCUUCCAUACUUCUGUCUGCUGGAUGAAGGGCAACAUGCUUGCGGGCCAUGCACCUGGGCUGCACCUGGCCUCGGUGUGACCAAACAGGUUUUGCUUCCCCCAAAGCCUGCAGGUUGCUCUCUCUGCAGUGAAGACAGGAGGACUUUCCCAGGAAGUGAGGAGAUUUCAUCCAAACUCAAAAUGAUACUACAAAAUUAUUGGCAUAUGAAGAGGUGAAGAACAAGAAUACAGCCAAAAAAUGCAAGGAAAAGAGUUACAGAAUUGAUUCAUGUGGUUAUUUAAUAAAAAUUAGUUUUUUUGGCAGUUAGUGACAUUUGCAUAGUUUGUCAAGUUACUGAAAAUUUGUAAGGUAUUGUGUUCUUCUCUCAUCAAAAUAAAUAUUCUUUUUCAUAUGUUUGUAAUUUUGUAGUAUUCUUUUUCUUAGAGAGGACUCCCCAGAUUUUAUA